GGCGCAAGGUCUGUGGUGGGAAAGAUUUUUCGGUUGGGGAUGGGCUCGCGGCCUAUCAGCUUGUUGGUGAGGUAGUGGCUCACCAAGGCGUCGACGGGUAGCCGGCCUGAGAGGGUGACCGGCCACACUGGGACUGAGACACGGCCCAGACUCCUACGGGAGGCAGCAGUGGGGAAUAUUGCACAAUGGGCGGAAGCCUGAUGCAGCAACGCCGCGUGAGGGAUGACGGCCUUCGGGUUGUAAACCUCUUUUAGCAGGGAAGAAGCGUAAGUGACGGUACCUGCAGAAAAAGCGCCGGCUAACUACGUGCCAGCAGCCGCGGUAAUACGUAGGGCGCAAGCGUUAUCCGGAAUUAUUGGGCGUAAAGAGCUCGUAGGCGGUUUGUCGCGUCUGCUGUGAAAACCCGAGGCUCAACCUCGGGCCUGCAGUGGGUACGGGCAGACUAGAGUGCGGUAGGGGAGAUUGGAAUUCCUGGUGUAGCGGUGGAAUGCGCAGAUAUCAGGAGGAACACCGAUGGCGAAGGCAGAUCUCUGGGCCGUUACUGACGCUGAGGAGCGAAAGGGUGGGGAGCAAACAGGCUUAGAUACCCUGGUAGUCCACCCCGUAAACGUUGGGAACUAGUUGUGGGGGCCUUUCCACGGUCUCCGUGACGCAGCUAACGCAUUAAGUUCCCCGCCUGGGGAGUACGGCCGCAAGGCUAAAACUCAAAGGAAUUGACGGGGACCCGCACAAGCGGCGGAGCAUGCGGAUUAAUUCGAUGCAACGCGAAGAACCUUACCAAGGCUUGACAUACACCGGAAACGUCUGGAAACAGUCGCCCCUUUUUGGUCGGUGUACAGGUGGUGCAUGGUUGUCGUCAGCUCGUGUCGUGAGAUGUUGGGUUAAGUCCCGCAACGAGCGCAACCCUCGUUCUAUGUUGCCAGCACGUUAUGGUGGGAACUCAUGGGAUACUGCCGGGGUCAACUCGGAGGAAGGUGGGGAUGACGUCAAAUCAUCAUGCCCCUUAUGUCUUGGGCUUCACGCAUGCUACAAUGGCCGGUACAAAGGGCUGCAAUACCGUGAGGUGGAGCGAAUCCCAAAAAGCCGGUCCCAGUUCGGAUUGAGGUAUGCAACUCGACCUUAUGAAUUCGG
rnacentral:rRNA from 1 species